GCAUCGGUGGUUUAGUGGUAAAAUUAGCCGUUGCCAUCCUAUUGGACAACUUCGGCUAGCCCCGGGUUCGAUUCCCGGCCGAUGCA